rnacentral:piRNA from 1 species
CUGGCAUGUAGUUGCUCAAUGAUGCCUGG